rnacentral:rRNA from 1 species
UCCUACGGGGGGCAGCAGUGAGGAAUAUUGGUCAAUGGGCUUACGCCUGAACCAGCCAAGUCGCGUGAGGGAAGACUGCCCUAUGGGUUGUAAACCUCUUUUGUCAGGGAGCAACGCCGGCUACGUGUAGCCGGACUGAGAGUACCUGAAGAAAAAGCAUCGGCUAACUCCGUGCCAGCAGCCGCGGUAAUACGGAGGAUGCGAGCGUUAUCCGGAUUUAUUGGGUUUAAAGGGUGCGUAGGCGGAAUGCCAAGUCAGCGGUAAAAUCGCGGGGCUCAACCUCUCUCCGCCGUUGAACCUGGCGU